rnacentral:ncRNA from 1 species
CCUUUUGGGAGAGAUCGGUCAUGCACCGACGCCGAAGGCGCAACCCGUCCGGAAUCGCUCAGGCAAAUGGACCAUGAGG